AUUCACUCAGAGCAGAGGCUGUCCUUCCUUUGCCUGUCAGAGGGUUUCAAAACUGCCGUACCAGGGACGGAUUCAGAUCACAUACUGCAGCAACCAAUGACCCUAGUCCUCCCCUUCAGCUGUGAAACCCCAGAAUGGUCCUAGGAUGGGAAGCAAGUCCUGACAGCUGCCUAGAGGUUGUUUGCUAACUAAUCCCAGAAGAAAUGCUCUUAGAAAGAGACCAGAAAAAUAAAGAAGAAAAAUGGGACCGGUGCACACAAGGACAGGAGGGUAGCUACUGGCAGCUCACGCAGGUGUGCUCUGAAAAGUCAAACCUGCAUCAGCAUUUGGUAGGAAACCUUUGAGCUCUUCUACCUCUUGGAAAGCACAAUUGAAUCAGACGCGCGUGCGCACACGCACACACUUCAUAGGAUCCCACCUCCAAGUCUCCUGGGAAGCAGGUUCUCUGGGUGAAAGAGUGAGGCCAGGUGACAGUCCAAGGACAUGGUGAUCUUAGCAGGCCCACCCAGAACACUGAUACAGGACACUGUUCACUUCAGUCCUGGCAGCCUUUUCAUCUUUCUUAAGUGUGCGAAUAGUUACAGUACUGCUUUGCUUCCGAAACUGGAUAGUGAGACAGCCGCCAUCACCACCACCACUGCCAGGCCAAGCACUCCCAUCCUGGCCACUAUGGAGUCUCCUGAAAGAACUUGCCCUGUGAGUGACAGAGCCACCAGGAAGGAUGCCUGCACACUAGGCAGAGGUCCUCGGUGCCCUGCUGUCCAUCCUCUGCAUCUGGGUGCUGACCAGUGUGCUGAUGUACCUGGCCAGUGA
rnacentral:lncRNA from 1 species